GUGCCAGCAGCCGCGGUAAUACGGAGGGUGCGAGCGUUAAUCGGAAUAACUGGGCGUAAAGCGUACGCAGGCGGAUUGUUAAGCGAGAUGUGAAAGCCCGGGGCUCAACCUCGGAAUUGCAUUUGAAAGUGGCAGGCUAGAGUACUGUAGAGGGGCCAAGAAUUUCAGGUGUAGCGGUGAAAUGCGUAGAGAUCUGAAGGAAUACCGGUGGCGAAGGCGGCCCCCUGGACAGAUGCUGACACUCAGAUGCGAAAGCGUGGGGAGCAAACAGGAUUAGAUACCCCAGUAGUCC
rnacentral:rRNA from 1 species